UGAGAAAUCUGCCCUUGACUCUGGGAUAACUGCGGGAAACUGUAGCUAAUACCGGAUAUUUUCCUUGGUGGGCAUCCACUGGGGAAGAAAGAAUUUCGGUCAAGGAUGAUCUCGCGGCCUAUCAGCUAGUUGGUGAGGUAAUGGCUCACCAAGGCGACGACGGGUAGCCGGCCUGAGAGGGUGACCGGCCACACUGGGACUGAGACACGGCCCAGACUCCUACGGGAGGCAGCAGUGGGGAAUAUUGCACAAUGGGCGCAAGCCUGAUGCAGCAACGCCGCGUGAGGGAUGAAGGCCUUCGGGUUGUAAACCUCUUUUAGCAGGGAAGAAGCGAAAGUGACGGUACCUGCAGAAAAAGCACCGGCUAACUACGUGCCAGCAGCCGCGGUAAUACGUAGGGUGCAAGCGUUGUCCGGAAUUAUUGGGCGUAAAGAGCUCGUAGGCGGUUUGUCACGUCUGCUGUGAAAUUCCGAGGCUCAACCUCGGACUUGCAGUGGGUACGGGCAGGCUAGAGUGCGGUAGGGGAGAUGGGAAUUCCUGGUGUAGCGGUGGAAUGCGCAGAUAUCAGGAGGAACACCAAUGGCGAAGGCACAUCUCUGGGCCGUAACUGACGCUGAGGAGCGAAAGCGUGGGGAGCGAACAGGAUUAGAUACCCUGGUAGUCCACGCCGUAAACGGUGGGUGCUAGCUGUGGGCCACAUUCCACGUGGUCCGUGACGAAGUUAACACAUUAAGCACCCCGCCUGGGGAGUACGGCCGCAAGGCUAAAACUCAAAGGAAUUGACGGGGGCCCGCACAAGCGGCGGAGCAUGCGGAUUAAUUCGAUGCAACGCGAAGAACCUUACCAAGGCUUGACAUAUAGAGGAAAAGUGCAGAAAUGU
rnacentral:rRNA from 1 species